UACGAAGGGGGCUAGCGUUGCUCGGAAUCACUGGGCGUAAAGGGUGCGUAGGCGGGUCUUUAAGUCAGGGGUGAAAUCCUGGAGCUCAACUCCAGAACUGCCUUUGAUACUGAGGAUCUUGAGUUCGGGAGAGGUGAGUGGAACUGCGAGUGUAGAGGUGAAAUUCGUAGAUAUUAGGAAGAACACCGGUGGCGAAGGCGGCCCACUGGUCCGGUACUGACGCUGAGGUGCGAAAGCGUGGGGAGCAAACAGG
rnacentral:rRNA from 1 species